GAUGAAGAACGUAGUGAAAUGCGAUACUUGGUGUGAAUUGCAGAAUCCCGUGAACCAUCGAGUCUUUGAACGCAAGUUGCGCCCGAAGCCAUCAGGUUGAGGGCACGUCUGCCUGGGCGUCACAUAUCGUUGCUCGAUGCCUAUCGCAUUGCGAUAGGACUUAGGGCGAAUGAUGGCUUCCCGUGAGCGUUGUUGCCUCGCGGUUGGUUGAAAAUCGAGUCCUUGGUAGGGUGUGUCAUGAUAGAUGGUGGUUGAGUGACGAACGAGACCCAAUCAUGUGAGACCCCUACCGAAUUUGGCCUUCAUGACCCACAUGCGUCUUUGGAACGCUCAUGACGAGACCUCAGGUCAGGCGGGGCUACCCGCUGAGUUUAAGCAUAUCAAUAAGCGGAGGA
rnacentral:misc_RNA from 1 species